rnacentral:misc_RNA from 1 species
AUGAAACGCUCAGGGAUGUUGCUGGCCCCUUUCCGCGAAGGUGGGGGGCAUGUGCACUCCUUGAACAUUCUGACCCCCUUCACCCCCCUGUGCACCUUUUGUAGGCUUCAGAGAGAGACCACCCUUUGGAGCCUAUGUCAAUUACCUUACAAACUCUAGUUGAUCGAACGUUGUGUAACAAGUAAAUCUAGAGCUUUCUAGGUUUAAAAGUAACUCGAUA